GCUGGGCACGGUGGCUGGUGCCUGUAAUCCAAGCUCCUGGGAGGCUGAGGCUGGUGGACGGCUUGAGCCCGGGGGUUCUGGGCUGCGGUGUGCUGUGCCGAGCGGGCGUCCGCGCUAAGGCCGGCAUCGAUAUGGUGUCCCUCGGGGAGCCGGGGGGCCCCAGGUCGCCUAAGGAGGGGUGAACCGGCCCAGGCCGGGAACGGAGCAGGCCAAAGCUCCCGUGCCGGUCAGUAGUGGGACGGCGCCUGUGAACAGUCCCCGUAGCACAGCCCGGGUGACAGAGCGGGACCCAGCCUCUU
ensembl:misc_RNA Metazoa_SRP Metazoan signal recognition particle RNA